UACGUAGGGUCCAAGCGUUAUCCGGAAUCACUGGGCGUAAAGCGUGCGUAGGUGGCGCGUAAGUGAGAUGUUAAAUCGUGUGGCUCAACCAUAUCGAUGCAUCUCAUACUGGCGUGCUAGAGGACAGCAGAGGCAAGUGGAAUUUGUAGUGUAGCAGUGAAAUGCGUAGAUAUGUGGAGGAACACCGACGGCGAAGGCAGCCCCCUGGGUUAACACUGACGCUCAUGCACGAAAGACGUGGG
rnacentral:rRNA from 1 species